UACGGGGGGGGCAAGCGUUGUUCGGAAUUACUGGGCGUAAAGGGCUCGUAGGCGGCCAACUAAGUCAGACGUGAAAUCCCCAGGCUCAACCUGGGAACUGCGUCUGAUACUGGAUGGCUUGAAUCCGGGAGAGGGAUGCAGAAUUCCAGGUGUAGCGGUGAAAUGCGUAGAUAUCUGGAGGAACACCGGUGGCGAAGGCGGCAUCCUGGACCGACACUGACGCUGAGGCGCGAAAGCGUGGGGAGCAAACAGG
rnacentral:rRNA from 1 species